rnacentral:rRNA from 1 species
AGAGUUUGAUCCUGGCUCAGGAUGAACGCUGGCGGCGUGCCUAAUACAUGCAAGUCGAGCGAACGGACGAGAAGCUUGCUUCUCUGAUGUUAGCGGCGGACGGGUGAGUAACACGUGGAUAACCUACCUAUAAGACUGGGAUAACUUCGGGAAACCGGAGCUAAUACCGGAUAAUAUUUUGAACCGCAUGGUUCAAAAGUGAAAGACGGUCUUGCUGUCACUUAUAGAUGGAUCCGCGCUGCAUUAGCUAGUUGGUAAGGUAACGGCUUACCAAGGCAACGAUGCAUAGCCGACCUGAGAGGGUGAUCGGCCACACUGGAACUGAGACACGGUCCAGACUCCUACGGGAGGCAGCAGUAGGGAAUCUUCCGCAAUGGGCGAAAGCCUGACGGAGCAACGCCGCGUGAGUGAUGAAGGUCUUCGGAUCGUAAAACUCUGUUAUUAGGGAAGAACAUAUGUGUAAGUAACUGUGCACAUCUUGACGGUACCUAAUCAGAAAGCCACGGCUAACUACGUGCCAGCAGCCGCGGUAAUACGUAGGUGGCAAGCGUUAUCCGGAAUUAUUGGGCGUAAAGCGCGCGUAGGCGGUUUUUUAAGUCUGAUGUGAAAGCCCACGGCUCAACCGUGGAGGGUCAUUGGAAACUGGAAAACUUGAGUGCAGAAGAGGAAAGUGGAAUUCCAUGUGUAGCGGUGAAAUGCGCAGAGAUAUGGAGGAACACCAGUGGCGAAGGCGACUUUCUGGUCUGUAACUGACGCUGAUGUGCGAAAGCGUGGGGAUCAAACAGGAUUAGAUACCCUGGUAGUCCACGCCGUAAACGAUGAGUGCUAAGUGUUAGGGGGUUUCCGCCCCUUAGUGCUGCAGCUAACGCAUUAAGCACUCCGCCUGGGGAGUACGACCGCAAGGUUGAAACUCAAAGGAAUUGACGGGGACCCGCACAAGCGGUGGAGCAUGUGGUUUAAUUCGAAGCAACGCGAAGAACCUUACCAAAUCUUGACAUCCUUUGACAACUCUAGAGAUAGAGCUUUCCCCUUCGGGGGACAAAGUGACAGGUGGUGCAUGGUUGUCGUCAGCUCGUGUCGUGAGAUGUUGGGUUAAGUCCCGCAA